UCAGAUGUAGGGUGGAUGCACAGCAGAUGUGCAGCGGAUGCAGGGCAGAUGCACAGCAGACGUGUGGUGUGGUGGUUGUACAGCAGAAGCACAGUGGUUGCAGGGGAGAUGCAUGGUGGGUGCAGGGCAGAUGCAGGAUGAAUGCUCACUAGAUGCAGGGUAGAUGUGCGGUGGAUGCAGGGUGGAUAUGUGGGGUUGCACGGCAGAUAGGUAGAGGAUGCACGGCAGAGGCAGGGUGGGUGCACACUGGACAUGUGGCGGUUGCACAGCCGAAGUGCAGUGAAUGCACAGAGGAUGCACAGCAGAUGCAUGGUGGACAUAUGGUGAAUGGAAGGCAGAUGCAGGGUGGAUGCACAGCAGAUACACAGUGGUUGCACAGUGAAUGCAGGGCAGAUGCAUAGUGGAUGUGUCACAGAUGCACAGAGGAUGUGGGGUGGAUGGGUGGCAGAUGCUCAGAGGAUACACAGUGGAUGCAGGGCAGAUGCAGGGUGAACACAGGGCAGGUGCACACUGGACAUGUGGGCAUCGUGCAGCAGAAGUGCAGCAGAUGCAUGGAGCAGGAAUGGGAAACGGGUGGAAUGGGGCUCUGGAAAAGGAAUGGGGAACUGGAGUGGGAAUGGGGGAGCCAGGGCAGAGACAGUGUGCCAGUGGAAUGGGAACUAAUGACACCCCAGAUGGGGACCUGGUUGCAGAUGCAGAUGUGGACAUGGAUGUAGAUGUGGUUGCAGGUACAGAUUUGGGCAGGGAUGCAGAUGCAGCUGUGGAUGGAUGCAGUUGUGGGCACACAUGUAGAUGUGGCUGCAAAUGCAGAUGUGCUGAGGAUGCAGUUGUGAACACAGAUGCAGCUGUGGUUGCAGAUACAGAUGUGGGCACGGAUGCAGUUGUGGGCACAGAUGCAGAUGUGGGCACGGAUGCAGCUGUGGUUGCAGAUACAGAUGUGGGCACAGAUGCAGAUGUGCUGCAGCUGCAGGGCAAUGCUGCUGGGGGGUUUCAGGACCAGUAGGAUCCUUCACCCUCCCAGAACACCGCUCGCUGGUGGCUGCAGGGACACAGGGACACGAGGACACGGGGCCGUAGCGCUGCACGUGGCAGCUCCAUCCCUCCCUCCUCAGCAUCUCGCACAUGCAGGCGGUUGCUGCAAAGUGCUGACCCGCAUCCCAGCACUUCCUUACCACAUCCUGGAGAUUCCCAGAGCCUGGCACAUCCUCAUCCUCCUCCUGCCCAUCUCUGCCAUCGUGGCCAUCCCCAGGGGCUCCUGAGCCCCUUGGUGACAGCAAACCGGCCGUGGAUGGCACAGCGUGGCACGGGCAUCCUCCUUCCCGGAUGCCUUCCUCCUUCCCACAUCAUCCCCCUCAGUUGUUUGUCCCCAUCUGGCCCCAAUGCACAUGGAAUUGCGAUUGGAACUUGAACAAAGCCGCAGCUGCUCA